rnacentral:lncRNA from 1 species
GGGGCAAGUAUGGACACAACAUUCAAGCUGGAUUCAGCUCUAAGUUUGGAUUGUGAUUAAAUAAUUGACAAAGCAUAGGUUUUUGACACAGAAUGAAUGUGGUCUAAUGAACUUAAAAAAAUUUUUUUGCCUUUGAGCAAUUCACUAUGCUGUUGAAUAUUAAUCCUCUCAAAAAAAUGUUUGAAGAAAUUUUCUAUUAUUUAUGAAAUCUGAAAUGAGAAAAAUUGAACACCCCUCCAUUUUUUUUCACAUCCCCUUUCCCUUUUUCCAAAACUGAUCUCAAUUCAAAUUUCUAAUGGAGUUUGCAACAAUAACUACUCAUUUAAAUACAUCAUAAAAUAUUAAAAUGUAAAAUAAAGUGCUUGUUAUCACUGAAUGGUAAAGAUUGUUUUAAUUUAUCAGUUGGUAGUAAAAGUG